rnacentral:rRNA from 1 species
AGUGAACGCUGGCGGUAGGCCUAACACAUGCAAGUCGAACGGCAGCACAGGAGAGCUUGCUCUCUGGGUGGCGAGUGGCGGACGGGUGAGGAAUACAUCGGAAUCUACUUUUUCGUGGGGGAUAACGUAGGGAAACUUACGCUAAUACCGCAUACGACCUACGGGUGAAAGCAGGGGACCUUCGGGCCUUGCGCGAUUGAAUGAGCCGAUGUCGGAUUAGCUAGUUGGCGGGGUAAAGGCCCACCAAGGCGACGAUCCGUAGCUGGUCUGAGAGGAUGAUCAGCCACACUGGAACUGAGACACGGUCCAGACUCCUACGGGAGGCAGCAGUGGUGAAUAUUGGACAAUGGGCGCAAGCCUGAUCCAGCCAUACCGCGUGGGUGAAGAAGGCCUUCGGGUUGUAAAGCCCUUUUGUUGGGAAAGAAAUCCAGCUGGCUAAUACCCGGUUGAGAUGACGGUACCCAAAGAAUAAGCACCGGCUAACUUCGUGCCAGCCGCCGCGGUAA